rnacentral:rRNA from 1 species
GUAGGGGGCGAACGUUUGCUCGGAAUUACUGGGCGUAAAGGGUGUGUAGGUGGCUGAGCAAGUCAUUGAUGAAAUCCCGAGGCUCAACCUCGGAAUUGUCUCUGAAACUGCACAGCUUGAGGAUAUCUGAGGAAAACGGAAUUCCCGGUGGAGCGGUGAAAUGCGUAGAUAUCGGGAGGAACACCAGAGGCGAAGGCGGUUUUCUAGAAUAUUCCUGACACUGAGACACGAAAGCUAGGGGAGCGAACGGGGGAUUAGAUACCCCGGUAGUCCUAGCUGUAAACGAUGGGUACUAGAUGUUUCCCGUGUUAUGCGGGAGUGUCGAAGUUAACGCGUUAAGUACCCCGCCUGGGGAGUACGGUCGCAAGGCUG